CCAUGGAGCUCUCCAGGCAGACCCAGCCUCUCCACCUGCUCACGGCAGCUCUCCCUGCCCUACCCCAGCAAGCCACCUGCUGGAGUAAACUCAGUCAGAGCUGGGUACCCACCUCUAAGAAUUGCUAAAGCAGGAGGGUUUUUUGUGGGAUGGGGCCUGGAGCAGACACCUUUGCCACCAGAUGUUGCUGCAAUUCUUGUUUCAGCCAGCAGCCAGUUGCCUGCAAAUACCCAUCACUGCCUUGGCCAGCAACCUUCAGGUCUUACUCUUCUUGGAAAUCAACAAGACACUGCCUUUGGAUUGUCGACUUUGGAUUGUUUGGUGUAGCAUCAAAACCAGAGAACCAGUAAAAAUGAACCACCAGAGCACUGGAGAGCCAUCCCCAGCUGACUUGUUGCAGUAUCCAGGCUCCUUCCAGGCUUCUUCUUACAUCCAUGGAGAGAGUGAUGCUGAUAAGCUCUUAUAAAACUACUCUUCCUGGCUGUUAUUAACCCAUUUUAACCUUAAGCCUAAUCCUCUCUUCUCCUACCUUUGCCUUCAGCAGCCAUUUCAUUUAUUUUUGUUACAAAAAUUUAGAAACACCACCUGAAAAAUGUUACCCACACUAAAAUAAAAAGCCAGAUAAUGUC